UAUGGAAUUAGUCGUCCUAUUGAUGGUAGAGGUGAAAUUUCAGCUUCUGAAUUUCGAUUAAUUGAAUCUGCCGCUCUCGGUAUUAUUUCGCGCCGUUGCGUAUAUGAGCCUCUUCAAACCGGACUUAUUGCUAUUGAUUCAAUGAUCCCUAUAGGACGUGGUCAACGAGAAUUAAUUAUUGGGGACAGAUAGACCGGUAAAACAGCAGUAGCUACAUAUACGAUUCUCAAUCAACAAGGUCAAAAUGUAAUAUGUGUUUAUGUAGCUAUUGGGCAAAAAGCGUCUUCUGUGGCCCAGGUAGUAACUACUUUACAGGAAAGGGGAGCGAUGGAAUACACUAUUGUGGUAGCCGAAACGGCGGAUUCCCCUGCUACAUUACAAUACCUUGCUCCUUAUACAAGACCAGCUCUGGCUGAAUAUUUUAUGUAUCGUGAACAACACACUUUAAUCAUUUAUGAUGAUCUCUCCAAACAAGCGCAAGCUUAUCGCCAAAUGUCUCUUCUAUUACGAAGACCGCCCGGUCGUGAAGCUUAUCCAGGAGAUGUUUUUUAUUUGCAUUCACGCCUUUUGGAAAGAGCCGCUAAAUUAAGUUCUAGUUUAGGUGAAGGAAGUAUGACCGCCUUACCAAUAGUUGAAACUCAAUCCGGAGAUGUUUCGGCUUAUAUUCCUACUAAUGUAAUUUCCAUUACUGAUGGACAAAUCUUCUUAUCCGCCGACCUAUUCAAUUCUGGAAUCAGACCUGCUAUUAAUGUAGGUAUCUCCGUUUCCAGAGUGGGGUCCGCAGCUCAAAUAAAAGCCAUGAAACAAGUAGCUGGUAAAUUAAAAUUAGAACUAGCGCAAUUCGCAGAAUUAGAAGCCUUUGCACAAUUUGCUUCUGAUCUCGAUAAAGCUACUCAUAAUCAAUUGGCAAGAGGUCAACGAUUACGUGAAUUGCUUAAACAAUCCCAAUCAGCUCCUCUCACGGUAGAAGAGCAGAUAAUGACUAUUUAUACCGGAACAAACGGCUAUCUUGAUUCAUUAGAAGUUGGAUAGGUAAGGAAAUUUCUUCUUGAGCUACGUACUUACUUAAAAACUACUAAACCUCAGUUCCAAGAAAUCGUAUCUUCUACCAAGACAUUUAUCGAGGAAGCAGAAGCCCUUUUGAAGGAAGCUAUUCAGGAACAAAUGGAUCGUUUUAUACUUCAGGAACAAGCAUAAAGAAAUAUUUAUCACUUUUGUCUUAAUCUUAAUAAAGAAAAGGACUUAAGCAUCUUGGAUUCAAAUAUUCAAACAGUCUUUCUUGUUAUCAAAAUCUAAA